rnacentral:rRNA from 1 species
GACGAACGCUGGCGGCGUGCUUAACACAUGCAAGUCGAACGGAAAGGCCCUGCUUUUGUGGGAUGCUCGAGUGGCGAGCACGUGAGUAAAACGUGAGUGACCUGCCCUUGACUGUGGGAGACAUUCAGGGAAAUGGAGCGAAAACCCGGUAUAAGCACCUUAAACAUGGUGGGGGUGGGAGAGAGUCGUCGUUUCGGGAUGGACUCGCGGUUUAGCAGCGUGUUGGUGGGGUGGUGGCUUAGAGGGGCAUGGACGGGUAGCCGGACUGAGAGGGUGACCGGCCACAGUGGGCCUGAGAUACGGGCCAGACUCCUACGGGAGGCAGCAGUGGGGAACAGUGCACAAUGGGCGGAAGCCGGAUGCAGCAACGCCGCGUGCGGGAUGACGGUUGUUGGGUUGUAAACCGCGUUCGCCUGGGAAGAAGCGUGAGUGACGGUAAUGGGUAAAGAAGCACCGGCUAACUACGUG